rnacentral:rRNA from 1 species
UACAUAGGUCACAAGCGUUAUCCGGAAUUAUUGGGCGUAAAGAGCGUGUAGGCGGCCAGGUAGGUCUGGUGUGAAAACUCGAGGCUUAACCUUGAGAUGUCAUCGGAAACCAUUUGGCUAGAGUCCGGAAGAGGAAAGUGGAAUUCCUGGUGUAGCGGUGAAAUGCGCAGAUAUCAGGAAGAACACCAAUGGCGAAAGCAGCUUUCUGGGACGGUACUGACGCUGAGACGCGAAAGCGUGGGGAGCGAACAGG